rnacentral:misc_RNA from 1 species
GAUGAAGAACGCAGCGAAAUUCGAUAAGUAAUGUGAAUUGCAGAAUUCAGUGAAUCAUCGAAUCUUUGAACGCACAUUGCGCCCCUUGGUAUUCCGAGGGGCAUGCCUGUUCGAGCGUCAUUAUAACCCCUCAAGCUCAGCUUGGUGUUGGGGCCUGCUGCACUGGCAGCCCUUAAAAUCAGUGGCGGCGCCAUCUGGCUCUAAGCGUAGUAAUUCUUCUCGCUAUGGAGUCCUGGUGGAUGCUUGCCAUCAACCCCCAAUUUUUCUAUGGUUGACCUCGGAUCAGGUAGGGAUACCCGCUGAACUUAAGCAUAUCAAUAAGCGGAGGA